ACUGCGAGUGAAGAGGGAAGAGCUCAUCAUUGGAAUCUGGCAGUGUUGCACUGUCCGAGUUGUAGAUGAGGAGUAGUUCAUCUGGACUGCAUGGCGUCCAAGUACAAUAGGCCGUCAGUGGGACAUCAUAGAGGGUGACAAUCCCGUCCUUGAUGCCAAUGUGCAAGUCCAUUACGAUGACUAUCUCAGAGAGUCGAGCAGUUUGGGAUUUGCUGCUUAAACAUGGGAGGUAGAUUCCUUCUAAAGCUAAAUACAGGCGAGAGACCGAUAGAGAACAAGUACCGCAAGGGAAAGAUGAAAUAGCACUCUGUGAAGGGAGUCAAAAGGCGUGAAAUUGUUGCGAGAGAAGCGAUUCAAGUCAGCGUAGCUAGGCCCAUCAAGCCUAUUGCUUUGGACUAGCUUUGCCAGCGGUCUUGUCCUUAGAGACUUGACUUGUAUGUCCAGCCUGGUAUGCACAGGUAGCCCCCCUUGGGGGUCAGUGACAUGGCUGGUGGAAUGGCUUGCAAUCGACCCGUCUUGAAACACGGACCAAGGAGUCUAACAUGUAUGCGAGUAUAAGGGUGGCAAACCCGUAUGCGCAAUGAAAGUGAUUUUCGAUGAUUGAGAAUGGCCUGAUGACCAGACAAGCAAUACAUGUCCCUCGUACGGCCAUUGCCCAAGUUCCGUGGUAGAUCCCAUGAACAUGGAGUUGGAGCAUACAUGCUAGGACCCGAAAGAUGGUGAACUAUGCCUGGACAAAGCGAAGCCAAAGGAAACUCUGGUGGAGGCUUGUAGCGAUUCUGACGUGCAAAUCGAUCGUCUGAUCUGGGUAUAGGGG
rnacentral:rRNA from 1 species